CAUGGAGAAAAAGGAACACUUAUACACUGUUGGUGGGAGUGUAAAUUAGUUUAGCCAGUGUGAAAAGCAGUGCGGUGAUUCCUCAGAGAGCUAGAAGUAGAAAUU